GUUGAACGCUGGCGGCAGGCUUAACACAUGCAAGUCGAGCGGAUGAAGGGUGCUUGCGCCUGGAUCUAGCGGCGGACGGGUGAGUAAUGCCUAGGAAUCUGCCGGGUAGUGGGGGAUAACGUCCGGAAAAGGGCGCUAAUACCGCAUACGUCCUGAGGGUGAAAGUGGGGGAGCUUCGGACCUCACGCUAUCAGAGGAGCCUAGGUCGGAUUAGCUAGUUGGUGGGGUAAAGGCCUACCAAGGCGACGAUCCGUGAGUGGUCUGAGAGGAUGAUCAGCCACACUGGAACUGAGACACGGUCCAGACUCCUACGGGAGGCAGCAGUGGGGAAUAUUGGACAAUGGGGGAAAGCCUGAUACAGCCAUGCCGCGUGUGUGAAGAAGGUCUUCGGAUUGUAAAGCCCUUUAAGUUGGGAGGAAGGGCAGUAGGUUAAUACCUUGCUGGUUUGACGGUACCGACAGAAUAAGCACCGGCUAACUACGUG
rnacentral:rRNA from 1 species